GCUCAAAUUUGAAAUCGGCCACCAGGUCGAGUUGUAAUUUGUAGAUUGUAUCUUGAGAGCGGAUUAAAGUCUGUUGGAACACAGCGCCUUAGAGGGUGACAGCCCCGUAAAAUCUAUUCUCAUUGUAAGAUACUUUCGAAGAGUCGAGUUGUUUGGGAAUGCAGCUCUAAGUGGGAGGUAAAUUCCUUCUAAAGCUAAAUAUUGACGAGAGACCGAUAGCGAACAAGUACUGUGAAGGAAAGAUGAAAAGCACUUUGAAAAGAGAGUGAAAAAGUACGUGAAAUUGUUAAAAGGGAAGGGUAUUGAAUCAGACUUGGUGCUGUUGUUCAACUGUGUUUCGGCAUAGUGUACUCAGCAGUACUAGGCCAAGGUGGGGUGUUUGGGAGUGAAAAAGAAGUUGGAAGGUAACUCUUCGGAGUGUUAUAGCCUACUUUCAUAGCUCCUCAGGCGCCUCAGGACUGCGCUUCGGCAAGGACCUUGGCAUAAUGAUUCUAUACCGCCCG
rnacentral:rRNA from 1 species